rnacentral:hammerhead_ribozyme from 1 species
AUCGGGCUGACGAGUCCCAAAUAGGACGAAACGCGCGUCCUGUAU